rnacentral:lncRNA from 1 species
AUCGAGACCGUUUUAGACGGGUGAAGGCGUAUUAAUUUGUUUAAAUUGCUUCAAGAUGGCUAGUGAGGCGGACUCCGGGACGAGAGCAGAGACAGCUUCCGGAGGAUCAUUCUCCUCGUUUACGGGAAUGAUUCCUACCUUCGCGGGAGAACCGACGCAACGCGUCACCGAUUUCUUUGAUGUGAUUGAAGAGAUAGCUACUCUGGCAGCAUGGACAGAGCGACAAAAAUUGGGAGUCGCCAAAUGCAAAUUAACAGGCAUCGCGAAAGAGUAUGCGUGGCGUGAUUUUAAGAUGAAAGAUAUUCAGGACUAU